rnacentral:rRNA from 1 species
GUGCAGCAGGCGCGAAUACUUUACAAUGUGCGAAAGCACGAUAAGGGAACUCUGAGUGCCUCCUAAGGAGGCUGUUCAGGUGUCUAAAAGCACCUGAAGGAAGGGCUGGGUAAGACCGGUGCCAGCCGCCGCGGUAACACCGGCAGCCCAAGUGGUAGCCACGUUUAUUGGGUCUAAAGCGUCCGUAGCCGGCUGGGUAAGUUCCUUGGGAAAUUUGGCUGCUUAACAGUCAAGCUUUCAGGGAAUACUGCCCCGGCUUGGGGACCCGGGAGAGGUCAGAGGUACUCCAGGGGUAGGGGUGAAAUCCAUUAAAUCCUUGGGGGACCACCGGUAGCGAAGGCGUCUGACCAGACCGGGUCCGACGGUGA